GAUGAACGCUGGCGGCGUGCCUAAUACAUGCAAGUCGAGCGAACGGACGAGAAGCUUGCUUCUCUGAUGUUAGCGGCGGACGGGUGAGUAACACGUGGAUAACCUACCUAUAAGACUGGGAUAACUUCGGGAAACCGGAGCUAAUACCGGAUAAUAUUUUGAACCGCAUGGUUCAAAAGUGAAAGACGGUCUUGCUGUCACUUAUAGAUGGAUCCGCGCUGCAUUAGCUAGUUGGUAAGGUAACGGCUUACCAAGGCAACGAUGCAUAGCCGACCUGAGAGGGUGAUCGGCCACACUGGAACUGAGACACGGUCCAGACUCCUACGGGAGGCAGCAGUAGGGAAUCUUCCGCAAUGGGCGAAAGCCUGACGGAGCAACGCCGCGUGAGUGAUGAAGGUCUUCGGAUCGUAAAACUCUGUUAUUAGGGAAGAACAUAUGUGUAAGUAACUGUGCACAUCUUGACGGUACCUAAUCAGAAAGCCACGGCUAACUACGUGCCAGCAGCCGCGGUAAUACGUAGGUGGCAAGCGUUAUCCGGAAUUAUUGGGCGUAAAGCGCGCGUAGGGCGGUUUUUUUAAGUCUGAUGUGAAAGCCCACGGCUCAACCGUGGAGGGUCAUUGGAAACUGGAAAACUUGAGUGCAGAAGAGGAAAGUGGAAUUCCAUGUGUAGCGGUGAAAUGCGCAGAGAUAUGGAGGAACACCAGUGGCGAAGGCGACUUUCUGGUCUGUAACUGACGCUGAUGUGCGAAAGCGUGGGGAUCAAACAGGAUUAGAUACCCUGGUAGUCCACGCCGUAAACGAUGAGUGCUAAGUGUUAGGGGGUUUCCGCCCCUUAGUGCUGCAGCUAACGCAUUAAGCACUCCGCCUGGGGAGUACGACCGCAAGGUUGAAACUCAAAGGAAUUGACGGGGACCCGCACAAGCGGUGGAGCAUGUGGUUUAAUUCGAAGCAACGCGAAGAACCUUACCAAAUCUUGACAUCCUUUGACAACUCUAGAGAUAGAGCCUUCCCCUUCGGGGGACAAAGUGACAGGUGGUGCAUGGUUGUCGUCAGCUCGUGUCGUGAGAUGUUGGGUUAAGUCCCGCAACGAGCGCAACCCUUAAGCUUAGUUGCCAUCAUUAAGUUGGGCACUCUAAGUUGACUGCCGGUGACAAACCGGAGGAAGGUGGGGAUGACGUCAAAUCAUCAUGCCCCUUAUGAUUUGGGCUACACACGUGCUACAAUGGACAAUACAAAGGGCAGCGAAACCGCGAGGUCAAGCAAAUCCCAUAAAGUUGUUCUCAGUUCGGAUUGUAGUCUGCAACUCGACUACAUGAAGCUGGAAUCGCUAGUAAUCGUAGAUCAGCAUGCUACGGUGAAUACGUUCCCGGGUCU
rnacentral:rRNA from 1 species